rnacentral:rRNA from 1 species
GGUGCAUGGUUGUCGUCAGCUCGUGUCGUGAGAUGUUGGGUUAAGUCCCGCAACGAGCGCAACCCUUGAUUUUAGUUGCCAGCAUUUAGUUGGGCACUCUAAAGUGACUGCCGGUGCAAGCCGGAGGAAGGUGGGGAUGACGUCAAAUCAUCAUGCCCCUUAUGACCUGGGCUACACACGUGCUACAAUGGAUAGUACAAAGGGUCGCGAAGCCGCGAGGUGGAGCUAAUCCCAUAAAACUAUUCUCAGUUCGGAUUGUAGGCUGCAACUCGCCUACAUGAAGCCGGAAUCGCUAGUAAUCGUGGAUCAGCAUGCCACGGUGAAUACGUUCCCGGGCCUUGUACACACCGCCCGUCACACCACGAGAGUUUGUAACACCCGAAGUCGGUAGGGUAACCUUUAUGGAGCCAGCCGCCGAAGGUGGGACAGAUAAUUGGGGUGAAGUCGUAACAAGGUAGCCGUAUCGGAAGGUGCGGCUGGAUCACCUCCUUUCUAAGGAA